rnacentral:rRNA from 1 species
UGGGGAAUAUUGCACAAUGGGGGAAACCCUGAUGCAGCGACGCCGCGUGAACGAAGAAGGUUUUCGAAUCGUAAAGCUCUGUCCUAUGAGAAGAUAAUGACGGUAUCAUAGGAGGAAGCCCCGGCUAAAUACGUGCCAGCAGCCGCGGUAAUACGUAUGGGGCGAGCGUUGUCCGGAAUUAUUGGGCGUAAAGGGUACGUAGGCGGUCUAUUAAGUCAGGUGUGAAAGCGUGAGGCUUAACCUCAUUAAGCACUUGAAACUGAUAGACUUGAGUGAAGGAGAGGAAAGUGGAAUUCCUAGUGUAGCGAUGAAAUGCGUAGAUAUUAGGAGGAAUACCGGUGGCGAAGGCGACUUUCUGGACUUUUACUGACGCUCAGGUACGAAAGCGUGGGGAGCAAACAGG